GAUGAAGAACGCAGCGAAAUGCGAUAAGUAGUGUGAAUUGCAGACUUUAGUGAAUCAUCGAAUCUUUGAACGCACAUUGCGCCCGCUAGUAUUCUGGCGGGCAUGCCUGUCCGAGCGUCAUUUCAACCCUCAAGCCCCCGGGCUUGGUGUUGGGGAUCGGCGAGCCUCCGCGCCCGCCGUCCCCUAAAUCUAGUGGCGGUCUCGCUGUAGCUUCCUCUGCGUAGUAGCACACCUCGCACUGGGAAACAGCGCGGCCACGCCGUUAAACCCCCAACUUCUGAACGUUUGACCUCGGAUCAGGUAGGAAUACCCGCUGAACUUAAGCAUAUCAAUAAGCGGAGGA
rnacentral:misc_RNA from 1 species